rnacentral:lncRNA from 1 species
GGAAAAAUUGGAUGGUUAUUGGUAAUCUCUGAGAGGAACGUGGGGGGAUGGAUUCCUGAAAACCUCUGAGUAUAUUCUUGUCUGGUAUGAUAGCAUGAAGUUAUGGUAGUUUUGGCCAUGGGUUAUCCUGUGUUGUUGAAUGCCUGUAAAAUAUAUAAUUAAUGGUGUGUGAGAUGGUUUUAGUUUAAGGUGGCAAAAAAUGAAGCAAAA